rnacentral:rRNA from 2 species
CCACGGUGCUGAAGCAACAAAUGCCCUGCUUCCAGGAAAAGCCUCUAAGCAUCAGGUAACAUCAAAUCGUACCCCAAACCGACACAGGUGGUCAGGUAGAGAAUACCAAGGCGCUUGAGAGAACUCGGGUGAAGGAACUAGGCAAAAUGGUGCCGUAACUUCGGGAGAAGGCACGCUGACACGUAGGUGAAGUGAUUUACUCAUGGAGCUGAAGUCAGUCGAAGAUACCAGCUGGCUGCAACUGUUUAUUAAAAACACAGCACUGUGCAAACACGAAAGUGGACGUAUACGGUGUGACGCCUGCCCGGUGCCGGAAGGUUAAUUGAUGGGGUCAGCGCAAGCGAAGCUCCUGAUCGAAGCCCCGGUAAACGGCGGCCGUAACUAUAACGGUCCUAAGGUAGCGAAAUUCCUUGUCGGGUAAGUUCCGACCUGCACGAAUGGCGUAAUGAUGGCCAGGCUGUCUCCACCCGAGACUCAGUGAAAUUGAACUCGCUGUGAAGAUGCAGUGUACCCGCGGCAAGACGGAAAGACCCCGUGAACCUUUACUAUAGCUUGACACUGAACAUUGAGCCUUGAUGUGUAGGAUAGGUGGGAGGCUUUGAAGCGUGGACGCCAGUCUGCGUGGAGCCGACCUUGAAAUACCACCCUUUAAUGUUUGAUGUUCUAACGUGGACCCGUGAUCCGGGUUGCGGACAGUGUCUGGUGGGUAGUUUGACUGGGGCGGUCUCCUCCUAAAGAGUAACGGAGGAGCACGAAGGUUGGCUAAUCCUGGUCGGACAUCAGGAGGUUAGUGCAAUGGCAUAAGCCAGCUUGACUGCGAGCGUGACGGCGCGAGCAGGUGCGAAAGCAGGUCAUAGUGAUCCGGUGGUUCUGAAUGGAAGGGCCAUCGCUCAACGGAUAAAAGGUACUCCGGGGAUAACAGGCUGAUACCGCCCAAGAGUUCAUAUCGACGGCGGUGUUUGGCACCUCGAUGUCGGCUCAUCACAUCCUGGGGCUGAAGUAGGUCCCAAGGGUAUGGCUGUUCGCCAUUUAAAGUGGUACGCGAGCUGGGUUUAGAACGUCGUGAGACAGUUCGGUCCCUAUCUGCCGUGGGCGCUGGAAGACUGAGGGGGGCUGCUCCUAGUACGAGAGGACCGGAGUGGACGCAUCACUGGUGUUCGGGUUGUCAUGCCAAUGGCACUGCCCGGUAGCUAAAUGCGGAAAAGAUAAGUGCUGAAAGCAUCUAAGCACGAAACUUGCCCCGAGAUGAGUCUUCCCUGAGACUUUGAGUCUCCUGAAGGAACGUUAAAGACGAUGACGUUGAUAGGCCGGGUGUGUAAGCGCAGCGAUGCGUUGAGCUAACCGGUACUAAUGAACCGUGAGGCUUAACCUUACAA